CACGUAGGCACCAAGCGUUGUCCGGAAUUAUUGGGCGUAAAGCGCGCGCAGGCGGUCCUUUAAGUCUGAUGUGAAAGCCCACGGCUCAACCGUGGAGGGUCAUUGGAAACUGGGGGACUUGAGUGCAGGAGAGAAGAGUGGAAUUCCACGUGUAGCGGUGAAAUGCGUAGAGAUGUGGAGGAACACCAGUGGCGAAGGCGGGUCUCUGGACAGUUCCUGACGCUGAGACGCGAAAGCGUGGGGAGCAAACAGG
rnacentral:rRNA from 1 species